GGGCGGAGCCUCAGCUCGUAGGGCGGGGCUUCGGCACGCGUCUGGGGGUUGGGUACCAGUGCGACUGCGCCUGCACCGGCGCCUGCGCGCGCUUGUCUCACUGCCUCUGGGAAGGGGCAGGGGCGGGGGCCCGAGGAAUCUGACAGGCGCCACCCCUUUUGUUGGUUUGUCCCCCUUUUUUUUUCUUUCCGCGCAAAUAACUCCACCUCACCCAACUUCCAUUUUUUUUUUGAAGGUAAGUCUAGAGCGAACCCUGCUGAUCCUGAGUAUUCUGGUUUGCAGCUUCCACAUUGCUGGCACUAAAGCCUGAUUUUUUCACUCUUAGUAAACUUAAAGGCGUAACUAUAAAUUCCAAGGGAAUGAGCAGAACCUGUGACAGUUGGCAGUAGUUGCAACAGAUGUCGUGUGUUCUUAUUACCCCCACCCUCAUUCCCGCUCUAACAUAGGGUGCCUCGGUGUAGCCCUGCCUGUCCUGGAACUUGUUCUGUAGACCAGGCUGGCUUUGAACUCACGUGCCUUUGCUUCCCGAGUGCUGGGAUUGAAGGCGUGUGACCGACACCGCGUCCUCCGGCAACAGAUAUUUUCAUGAGGAGAUCUCAAAAUAUUUAAGGUUAUCAACAAAUGAAGUUAUAGGUAUUGUUAAACUUGCUGCUGUUAGAUCUUUAUUUAAUGUAGCACUGCAAUCUUUAACAUAAUUGGUCUUUUUUUUUUUUUUAAAUAAUUAUGUGAACAUGACGCAGUGUCUCACUAUAAAGCCCUGGCUGGCCAUGAAGAUGAAGUUGGCUUCAAACUCACAGAGAUCCACUUGCCUCUGUCCUAAAGUAGCCUAGAAGACGUUUUCAUAUCUCCUGACUGGAGUUACAGAUGGUUGUGAGCCACCAUGCGGGUACUGGGAACUCAACCCCUCUGAAAGAGCAACCAGUGUUUUUAACCUCUGAGCCAUUUCUUCAUACCCUUCCACGUGCAAUAGAUUUAAAAAAAAAAAAAACAAAAAAAAACCUUAGGAACAAUUGCAUUACUUAGAAAUAUUCAGAACACCCACAGACAGCUGCAGCUUGCCCACUACAGAGAAAUAUUCAGCGAGCGGCAGACAUACUUCACUUGUUCAGCGUUAUGAAUGAUGGUUUAUUCGUCGUCAGGUCUGUCUGCAGGAAUGCAGGAUUUAACGUGACAGCUACUUCAAGCCAUUGCUGCCUUCACUUCCCCACCAUGCUGGACUAAGAGUAAAAUAAAAACCCUUUCUCCAUUCCU